rnacentral:rRNA from 1 species
UACGUAGGCAGCGAGCGUUGUUCGGAGUUACUGGGCGUAAAGCGUGCGUAGGCGGUUUUCUAAGUCUGGUGUGAAAUCUCCCGGCUUAACUGGGAGGGUGCGCCGGAUACUGGAAGGCUUGGAGUGCGGGAGAGGUAGGCGGAAUUCCUGGUGUAGCGGUGAAAUGCGUAGAUAUCAGGAGGAACACCGGCGGUGUAGACGGCUUACUGGACCGUGACUGACGCUGAGGCACGAAAGCGUGGGGAGCAAACAGG